ACGGAGGAUCCAAGCGUUAUCCGGAUUUAUUGGGUUUAAAGGGUGCGCAGGCGGGCAUGUAAGUCAGUGGUGAAAGACUGCCGCUUAACGGUAGCAUUGCCAUUGAUACUGCAAGUCUUGAGUACAUUUGAAGUGGGCGGAAUGUGUAGUGUAGCGGUGAAAUGCUUAGAUAUUACACAGAACACCGAUAGCGUAGGCAGCUCACUAAGAUGCAACUGACGCUCAGGCACGAAAGCGUGGGGAUCAAACAG
rnacentral:rRNA from 1 species